UUGGAGGGCAAGUCUGGUGCCAGCAGCCGCGGUAAUUCCAGCUCCAAUAGCGUAUAUUAAAGUUGUUGCAGUUAAAAAGCUCGUAGUUGAAUUUCGGGGUCAGUAGGUUGGUCAUGCCACUGGUAUGUACUGGUCUCACUGAUUCCUCCUUCCUGAUGAACUGUAAUGCCAUUAAUUUGGUGUUGCAGGGAAUCUGGACUGUUACUUUGAAAAAAUUAGAGUGUUUAAAGCAGGCUAACGCCUGAAUACAUUAGCAUGGAAUAAUGAAAUAGGACGUUCGAUCCUAUUUUGUUGGUUUCUAGGAUUGACGUAAUGAUUAAUGGGGAUAGUUGGGGGCAUUAGUAUUCAAUUGUCAGAGGUGAAAUUCUUGGAUUUAUUGAAGACUAACUACUGCGAAAGCAUUUGCCAAGGAUGUUUUCAUUAAUCAAGAACGAAAGUUAGGGGAUCGAAGACGAUCAGAUACCGUCGUAGUCUUAACCAUAAACUAUGCCGACUAGGGAUCGGAUGAUGUUAAUUUUAUAAUGACUCGUUCGGCGCCUUACGGGAAAC
rnacentral:rRNA from 1 species